GGGCCGGUAGCUCAGCUUGGUUGGAGCACACGGCUGAUAAAUCCGACGAGGAUGGAGACACCGUGUGGUCGAGAGUUCAAAUCUCUUCCGGCCCA
rnacentral:tRNA from 1 species